UGAAAACUGUAGGAGAUUGCUGA
rnacentral:piRNA from 1 species